AUUGAACGCUGGCGGCAGGCCUCACACAUGCAAGUCGAACGAGUGGCGGACGGGUGAGUAAUGUCUGGGAAACUGCCUGCUGGAGGGGGAUCACUACUGGAAACGGUAGCUAAUACCGCAUACCAUCGGAUGUGCCCCUAUGGGAGUAGCUAGUAGGUGGGGUAAAGGCUCACCUAGGCUACGAUCCCUAGCUGGUCUGAGAGGAUGCCCAGCCACACGGGGACUUAGACACGGUCCAGACUCCUACGGGAGGCAGCAGUGGGGAAUAUUGCACAAUGGGCGCAAGCCGGAUGCAGCCAUGCCGCGUGUAUGAAGAAGGCCUUCGGGUUGUAAAGUACUUUCAGCGGGGAGGCGUUACCCGCAGAAGAAGCACCGGCUAACUCCGUGCCAGCAGCCGCGGUAAUUC
rnacentral:rRNA from 1 species